rnacentral:rRNA from 1 species
CGUUCCCGGGUCUUGUACACACCGCCCGUCACACCACGAAAGUCAGCAACACCCGAAGCCGGUGGCCUAACCCGCAAGGGAGGGAGCCGUCGAAGGUGGGGUCGGCGAUUGGGGUG